rnacentral:rRNA from 1 species
AGAGUUUGAUCCUGGCUCAGGAUGAACGCUGGCGGCGUGCCUAAUACAUGCAAGUCGAGCGAGAAGCUUGGAAAUGACGCUUCGGUUGAUUUUCCAAGCGGACAGCGGCGGACGGGUGAGUAACGCGUAGGCAACCUGCCCCUGACAGAGGGAUAGCCAUUGGAAACGAUGAUUAAAACCUCAUGACACCGUAGUAGCACAUGCUACAUCGGUCAAAGAUUUAUCGGUCAGGGAUGGGCCUGCGUCUGAUUAACUGGUUGGUGAGGUAACGGCUCACCAAGGUGACGAUCAGUAGCCGACCUGAGAGGGUGAUCGGCCACAUUGGAACUGAGACACGGUCCAAACUUCUACGGAAGGCAGCAGUAGGGAAUCUUGCACAAUGGGCGAAAGCCUGAUGCAGCAACGCCGCGUGAAGGAUGAAGGCCUUCGGGUUGUAAACUUCUGUUCUAAGGGAAGAAAGAAAUGACGGUACCUUAGGAGCAAGCCCCGGCUAACUACGUGCCAGCAGCCGCGGUAAUACGUAGGGGGCAAGCGUUAUCCGGAAUUAUUGGGCGUAAAGAGUGCGUAGGUGGUUACCUAAGCGCAAGGUUUAAAUUAGAGGCUCAACCUCUACAUGCCUUGCGAACUGGGCUACUUGAGUGCAGGAGGGGAAAGCGGAAUUCCUAGUGUAGCGGUGAAAUGCGUAGAUAUUAGGAGGAACACCGGCGGCGAAGGCGGCUUUCUGGACUGUAACUGACACUGAGGCACGAAAGCGUGGGUAGCAAACAGGAUUAGAUACCCUGGUAGUCCACGCC